rnacentral:rRNA from 1 species
UACAGAGGGGGCAAGCGUUGUUCGGAAUUACUGGGCGUAAAGGGCGCGUAGGCGGCCCGCUAAGUCGAACGUGAAAUCCCCGAGCUCAACACGGGAACUGCGUCCGAUACUGGCGGGCUUGAAUCCGGGAGAGGGAUGCGGAAUUCCAGGUGUAGCGGUGAAAUGCGUAGAUAUCUGGAGGAACACCGGUGGCGAAGGCGGCAUCCUGGACCGGCAUUGACGCUGAGGCGCGAAAGCUAGGGGAGCAAACAGG